rnacentral:rRNA from 1 species
UUGCCAGCCCGCUCAAGAAACUACAAAGGAAUUGACGGGGCCCGCACAAGCGGAGGAGCAUGUGGUUUAAUUCGAUGAUACGCGAGGAACCUUACCUGGGCUCGAACGUAAGAUGACUGUAGGUGAAAGCUUACAUCUCUUCGGAGCAUUUUACGAGGUGCUGCAUGGUUGUCGUCAGCUCGUGCCGUGAGGUGUCGGGUUAAGUCCCAUAACGAGCGCAACCCCUACCUUUAGUUGCCAUCAGGUUAAGCUGGGGACUCUAAAGGAACUGCCUACGCAAGUAGUGAGGAAGCGGGGAUGACGUCAAAUCAGCACGGCCCUUACGUCCAGGGCUACACACGUGCUACAAUGGCCGAUACAGAGGGCAGCUACCUGGUGACAGGAUGCAAAUCUCCAAAGUCGGUCUCAGUUCGGAUCGGAGUCUGCAACCCGACUCCGUGAAGUUGGAUUCGCUAGUAAUCGCGCAUCAGCCAUGGCGCGGUGAAUACGUUCCCGGGCCUU